rnacentral:rRNA from 1 species
GUGGGGAAUUUUGGACAAUGGGCGCAAGCCUGAUCCAGCAAUGCCGCGUGCAGGAAGAAGGCCUUCGGGUUGUAAACUGCUUUUGUACGGAACGAAACGGUCCUGGUUAAUACCUGGGGCUAAUGACGGUACCGUAAGAAUAAGCACCGGCUAACUACGUGCCAGCAGCCGCGGUAAUACGUAGGGUGCGAGCGUUAAUCGGAAUUACUGGGCGUAAAGCGUGCGCAGGCGGUGCUGUAAGACAGGCGUGAAAGCCCCGGGCUCAACCUGGGAAUUGCGCUUGUGACUGCAGUGCUGGAGUACGGCAGAGGGGGAUGGAAUUCCGCGUGUAGCAGUGAAAUGCGUAGAUAUGCGGAGGAACACCGAUGGCGAAGGCAGUCCCCUGGGCCUGUACUGACGCUCAUGCACGAAAGCGUGGGGAGCAAACAGGAUUAGAAACCCCGGUAGUCC